rnacentral:rRNA from 1 species
CCCUGGCUCAGAUUGAACGCUGGCGGCAGGCCUAACACAUGCAAGUCGAGCGGUAGAGAGRAGCUUGCACCUCUUGAGAGCGGCGGACGGGUGAGUAAUGCCUAGGAAUCUGCCUGGUAGUGGGGGAUAACGCUCGGAAACGGACGCUAAUACCGCAUACGUCCUACGGGAGAAAGCAGGGGACCUUCGGGCCUUGCGCUAUCAGAUGAGCCUAGGUCGGAUUAGCUAGUUGGUGAGGUAAUGGCUCACCAAGGCGACGAUCCGUAACUGGUCUGAGAGGAUGAUCAGUCACACUGGAACUGAGACACGGUCCAGACUCCUACGGGAGGCAGCAGUGGGGAAUAUUGGACAAUGGGCGAAAGCCUGAUCCAGCCAUGCCGCGUGUGUGAAGAAGGUCUUCGGAUUGUAAAGCACUUUAAGUUGGGAGGAAGGGCAGUAACCUAAUACGUUGGUGUCUUGACGUUACCGACAGAAUAAGCACCGGCUAA